GGGGGGGAUCUUGGUCAAUGGGGGAAACCCUGAACCAGCGACGCCGCGUGAGGGAAGAAGGUCUUUGGAUCGUAAACCUCUUUUGGCAGGGAAGAUGAUGACGGUACCUGUCGAAUAAGCCCCGGCUAACUACGUGCCAGCAGCCGCGGUAAUACGUAGGGGGCGAGCGUUGUCCGGAUUUACUGGGCGUAAAGGGCGCGUAGGCGGCCUGUUAGGUUGGCUGUGAAAUCUUUGGGCCCAACCCAGAGGGGUCAGCCGAGACCGGCGGGCUAGAGGGUGGUAGAGGAAGGUGGAAUUCCGGGUGUAGUGGUGAAAUGCGUAGAGAUCCGGAGGAACACCAGUGGCGAAGGCGGCCUUCUGGGCCAUACCUGACGCUGAGGCGCGAAAGCGUGGGGAGCGAACCGAAUUAGAUACCCUUGUAGUCC
rnacentral:rRNA from 1 species